CCAGACUCCUACGGGAGGCAGCAGUGAGGAAUAUUGGUCAAUGGACGAGAGUCUGGACCAGCCAAGUAGCGUGAAGGAUGACUGCCCUAUGGGUUGUAAACUUCUUUUAUAAAGGAAUAAAACGAGGCACGUGUGCCUUUUUGCAUGUACUUUAUGAAUAAGGAUCGGCUAACUCCGUGCCAGCAGCCGCGGUAAUACGGAGGAUCCGAGCGUUAUCCGGAUUUAUUGGGUUUAAAGGGAGCGUAGAUGGGUUGUUAAGUCAGUUGUGAGAGUUUGCGGCUCAACCGUAAAAUUGCAAUUGAUACUGGCAGUCUUGUGUACAGUUGAGGUAGGCGGAAUUCGUGGUGUAGCGGUGAAAUGCUUAGAUAUCACGAAGAACUCCGAUUGCGAAGGCAGCUUACCAGUCUGCGACUGACGCUCAGGCACGAAAGUGUGGGUAUCGAACAGGAUUAGAUACCCCUGUAAG
rnacentral:rRNA from 1 species